rnacentral:rRNA from 1 species
UCUUCGGCAAUGGACGGAAGUCUGACCGAGCAACGCCGCGUGAGUGAAGAAGGUUUUCGGAUCGUAAAGCUCUGUUGUUAGAGAAGAACGUUGGUAGGAGUGGAAAAUCUACCAAGUGACGGUAACUAACCAGAAAGGGACGGCUAACUACGUGCCAGCAGCCGCGGUAAUACGUAGGUCCCGAGCGUUGUCCGGAUUUAUUGGGCGUAAAGCGAGCGCAGGCGGUUCUUUAAGUCUGAAGUUAAAGGCAGUGGCUUAACCAUUGUACGCUUUGGAAACUGGAGGACUUGAGUGCAGAAGGGGAGAGUGGAAUUCCAUGUGUAGCGGUGAAAUGCGUAGAUAUAUGGAGGAACACCGGUGGCGAAAGCGGCUCUCUGGUCUGUAACUGACGCUGAGGCUCGAAAGCGUGGGGAGCAAACAGGAUUAGAUACCCUGGUAGUCCACGCCGUAAACGAUGAGUGCUAGGUGUUAGGCCCUUUCCGGGGCUUAGUGCCGCAGCUAACGCAUUAAGCACUCCGCCUGGGGAGUACGACCGCAAGGUUGAAACUCAAAGGAAUUGACGGGGGCCCGCACAAGCGGUGGAGCAUGUGGUUUAAUUCGAAAGCACGCGAAGAACCUUACCAGGUCUUGACAUCCUUCUGACCGGCCUAGAGAUAGGCUUUCUCUUCGGAGCAGAAGUGACAGGUGGUGCAUGGUUGUCGUCAGCUCGUGUCGUGAGAUGUUGGGUUAAGUCCCGCAACGAGCGCAACCCCUAUUGUUAGUUGCCAUCAUUAAGUUGGGCACUCUAGCGAGACUGCCGGUAAUAAACCGGAGGAAGGUGGGGAUGACGUCAAAUCAUCAUGCCCCUUAUGACCUGGGCUACACACGUGCUACAAUGGUUGGUACAACGAGUCGCAAGCCGGUGACGGCAAGCUAAUCUCUUAAAGCCAAUCUCAGUUCGGAUUGUAGGCUGCAACUCGCCUACAUGAAGUCGGAAUCGCUAGUAAUCGCGGAUCAGCACGCCGCGGUGAAUACGUUCCCGGGCCUUGUACACACCGCCCGUCACACCACGAGAGUUUGUAACACCCGAA